GACUAUCUCUGCACCAUCGUGUCGGCUGCGUGGCCGUCUUCCAACCUCCAGCUCAUGCUCCGGCUUCUCGAGCCAUGGCUGAACGCGGCGGAAUGAUCCGACGCCUCGGUCAUCUCCUCGGGCCUCAUAUGGGAGGACGAGGCGUGAGAGCUCGCCGAAUGAUCGCGGCCAAAGCAGGCGAACAUAUUGCGGAAGACGCGUCGAAUUGCGCUCCUCUCAGUCGACCGGCUCUGCCUUGACCCCCACGAGAUCCUCCUCGGUGCGCCGCCGUGGUUGAAACCGCCGUCCAUCUCCGUGUAAACGACCGGGAGCUCCCUCUCCUCGGGUCUCCUCCCGCCGGCAAACCUCCCGACGGCGAACCCGCCUC
rnacentral:lncRNA from 1 species